AGAGUCGGAAUUUCACAUUCACUAUUUCCUUGUUCUCAUUUCUACUAGUUCCUCAUCUUCCCUUAGUCAAAAAUUCAGUCACGCCGGAAUUCAACACCGGCGGCGGAGAAGGUCAAAUCACACCCAAACUGGUAUCAACGUGUUUAUGAGCAUGAAAUUUGGAGUUUGAUCAUGAAUAAAGCAAAGCAUGGUUUCAAGAACACUUGGAGGCUAUCAUGAAGAUCAAUGAUGACGAAUUGAAGAUGAAGAAUUAGUUUUUAGGAUUUAGGUUUUUUAGGAGUCAAAGUCUGGCCUUGGUCAACUAUUGACCAAAAAGUCAACAGUUGACAAAAAAGUCAAUUGUGACAAAAAUGCUCAUUUUCAAUAUAAUUUCCAUUUUUGUGCAAUGCACUUGUAUUGUAAUGGAUUUUGACUUUUGCAAUGAAGUUUGACUUUGGAUUCCAUGA